CUUCUUUGCACAUGGCGUUCCGAGAGGACGCAGCUACAAGCAAGCGCACCGCUAUCACUCAGACCUACUCACACACAAGCGGGUGCCCUUGAGCGCGCAGGUGUUCCUCUGCCUAGUGCCACUGAACUCCUCUCUCCCCGCCGUCAGAACGGUAUCGAAGGUGCAUGUGCAAGGUGAGGAAGAUCCGGGCUCCCUAGGCAUGAGUUAAUGGUCCACGCGCCUUACAAGCAAUGUUGAUUCGGAUGUUUGCUCGGUUCGUGUGCGUGGCCGCCAUCGUGGCUGCCCUCGGGCUGCUCUCUCCAAUCUCUGCCGACACUGCCCACCCCCAUCACAGUCGAUCACACACUGUGACCAUCGAGUCUGGCACACUUCCAGAAGCGAAGGCCUUUGCGCCACUGCGGCUUCGCGCUGGGGAAUGGGUGUACAACUUCAACCCUGGAGAAGAGGCGUUCUUCUUCGAACCCGAAGAUGCUGGAAAUCGGCAGUGGCAGCAGUGGAAGGCGGACUUGCGUCUCUUGCAAGCGUAUCAAGAGAAGCAGCGUCUGAGCAACUACCCCUCAGGUGGUGAGAAGACAGACACCCCAGACAAACCGGGGAACACUGAACGGCGCGAGCCAGGAGCAUUGCCCAUUGCCGAGUACUUCUCUGAUCGAAACGUGCAACGGCGCUACGCCGAGAGACUGAAGGAGCAGUCGUUCCACAACCUCAGCGAUGCGCAGGGGGCUGCUGAUGCUCGCGCGCUGGUGGAAGGCGAAAUAGCGGCUAUGUGGCACCUCGUUCGGUCGGCCGGCUCAAGUGACAGCUUAAAUGAUCAGCAGUUCCUGGGCCUCGUGGAGCGGCACUUCUCCCACACGAUCGCCAACACAAGUGCGGCGGCGGCCGCCGAAGCCACGACACCGUCAUCGUUUCCGUUUGCACUCCUUCGCGUCCCUCUAGUGCUUGAAGCCGACGUGCUGCCGUUCAUGGAGCGCGAGAUGGCCCAUGUGCGCGAUCUGUGGAAGUCCCGUCGCGCGGGAGCGGCGACGCCAGCGGCAUCGAGCGUGGAAGUAGAAUCCCAGCUGCAGCGCCUCUCCUCCGCUGUCGAAAACAGUAAGACGGUGGGCACGGAGCUGGCGGCCCUGGUAGAACCUUUGGCAGAUGCCGCGAUCGGUUGGGUGGCGUCGACUCUCACGACGACGCGCGAGGCUAUUGUCGCGAACGACGAGUCGACGGAGGCUAAGCGAUCGGAGCUGAAGCAGCUGCUCAAGAUGCAGUCUAGACUCCGGAAGGUGAGACCGAUACUGGAGAAACACCGCAAGGUGUACCAGAGUGUUCUGCAGCGGGGACAGCUGCCGAACGCCCAGGCGACGCUCUUUGCGCUUCAACUCAUAGCCAAGCAGCGCUUUGGCGACGAUGUGUCUGGGCUUGUCGAGGCGGUCCCCCUUCUCAGCACCACCGCGCCUCUUACCGGGCUACUGGAGCAGGAGUGGCGGGCGCACGUGCUAGCGCCGUAUGGGAUGUGCGUUCUUGUGACUGCAGCCUUUGUUUGGGUAUGCGAAGAGAUCAAGGAGCGGUUCAUGACCCGGGUGCGGGCUCGCCGGCUUUGCAUGCCUCUUGUCAUGCCCGCGUCGGCAUCGGGCUGCACGCGGCAGAUGUUCAUGCUCGUCUCAUUCCUUGAGCUUGUAGUGCCCCCGCUUCUCCCGGUUAUCGCGCUAGUUGUGCACCUGCGCGGGGCGCGGGUGUGGAUGUGGGGUAUGAUCGCCUUGAUGCGUCCCAGUCAGCGCGCGGCGUGCCUUGCGUCUGUGACACUUUUAAUGCUCUCGGCCUACCUAGUAGCCACAAUGGUGCGACGUGUCUUUCAGAUCAUCGAUCCCUCCGUGUAUCGCCGCCGCCUCGCCAAGAAAAAGUGAAUCUGCCUCGCAGUCACCCUAUAUCGAAAAAGGACGGGCGUGCUUUCGCUUGUGCAUAGCUUGGUGUUUUCCGCCUCGUCGAAGUCGGAGAAAGGGCAGGAAGCGAGUUCUUCCGUGAGAAGGGUUCACUGGAGAUGUGGUAGGCUUUGGUAGGCAUUCCGCCCUCUCCAUACACGUUUUGGAGUAUAUGUGAACAGGGAGCGACGCUUGCACACCUGUGGAGGGCUGAGUGGCAGCAGUCUUCUUUCACAGGGCCUGCGCAAGGAAGUGGAUGGUAAUGCUGGGUGAUGGACUGUCUCUUUGUUGCCAGCAAACCUGCCUGCGCAUGGUGGUGUCGCGCGCUCCUCGCCGUCGUUUUUAUAGCUUCUGUCGCGGGUGUUUUUAUCACUCGGCCAACGCAACAAGGAAAACUAUAUAUAUAUAUAUAUGCAACGAUACAGCACAUCAGGUCGGUGGGGCGCUGCAGUGAUGUUAGCUUCUGGUCGUUUCGGUCAAGGUGUUUUCGUGCGUAUUUGCGCACAUUUCUUGUGCGGCGCAGGGCCGUCCGUUUUUAGCGUCAUUGCCCCCCCCUUUUUCCUGUCAGCAUCGCUCUGCAAUAAAAAACGGAAGAGAGAAAGUGUACACAGCCGCACAAGCGGAGGCGUCACACAGGUGAUAGACGGUGGAGUUCGCCAUUUCGAAGCAACGACUCUGCGCACGAGCGUCCCCUUGACGUGCGCGCCACCAUGUUGUUGGCGUUGCGCCUUCGUGUUUGUUGUUGUUUCGUUGCCCUUUCCCACGCCUACCGUGCCUUGUCCUCGUCCUCCUUUCCGUUGUGCUUUGUGUGUGUGUGUGAGAGUGGGUUGCUGGGAGAGUACAACGGCGGUUUCG
rnacentral:misc_RNA from 1 species